rnacentral:rRNA from 1 species
GUGUCAGCAGCCGCGGUAAGACGGAGAGGGCGAGCGUUGUUCGGAAUUACUGGGCGUAAAGAGCACGUAGGCGGGUCCGUAUGUCAGGGGUGAAAGCCCCCGGCUCAACCGGGGAACUGCCUCUGAAACUGCGGUCCUCGAGUGGAGCAGGGGGGAGUGGAACUCUCGGUGGAGCGGUGAAAUGCGUUGAUAUCGAGGGGAACGUCGGCGGCGAAGGCGACUCCCUAUGCUUCUACUGACGCUGAGGUGCGAAGCCAGGGGAGCGAACGGGAUUAGAUACCCCGGUAGUCCUGGCCCUAAACGGUGGGCACUAGGUAGUGGGGGCUCCGAUGGCUCCCUCUGCCGCAGCUAACGCGAUAAGUGCCCCGCCUGGGGACUACGACCGCAAGGUUAAAACUUAAAGGAAUUGACGGGG